rnacentral:rRNA from 1 species
AUCGAACGCUGGCGGCAGGCCUAACACAUGCAAGUCGAACGAGUGGCGGACGGGUGAGUAAUGUCUGGGCAACUGCCCGAUGGAGGGGGAUAACUACUGGAAACGGUAGCUCAUACCGCAUACCAUCGGAUGUUCCCAGAUGGGAUUAGCUAGUCGGUGGGGUAAAGGCUCACCUAGGCGACGAUCCCUAGCUGGUCUGAGAGGAGGACCAGCCACAAUGGAACUGAGACACGGUGCAGAAGCCGAAGGGAGGCAGCAGGGGGGAAUAUGGGACAAUGGGAGGAAGCCUGAUGCAGCAAUGCCGGGUGUAUGAAGAAGGACUUCGGGUUGUAAAGUACUUUCAGCGGGGAGGCGUUACCCGCAGAAGAAGCACCGGCUAACUCCGUGCCAGCAGCCGCGGUAAUAC